AAAGGCAAUUAGGUAAAAAUUAAAGCUGCUAACUUUAAUUUGAGUGAUUCAAUUUCAUUCUUGUUUUUA
rnacentral:tRNA from 1 species